UACAUAGGUCUCAAGCGUUGUUCGGAUUCAUUGGGCGUAAAGGGUGCGUAGGCGGCGCGGUAAGUCGGGUGUGAAAUCUCGGGGCUUAACUCCGAAACUGCAUUCGAUACUGCCGUGCUUGAGGACUGGAGAGGAGACUGGAAUUUACGGUGUAGCGGUGAAAUGCGUAGAUAUCGUAAGGAAGACCAGUGGCGAAGGCGGGUCUCUGGACAGUUCCUGACACUGAGGCACGAAGGCCAGGGGAGCAAACGGG
rnacentral:rRNA from 1 species